GUUUGAUUAUGGCUCAGGAUGAACGCUAGCUACAGGCUUAACACAUGCAAGUCGAGGGGCAGCAUUUUAGUUUGCUUGCAAACUAAAGAUGGCGACCGGCGCACGGGUGAGUAACACGUAUCCAACCUGCCGAUAACUCGGGGAUAGCCUUUCGAAAGAAAGAUUAAUAUCCGAUAGUAUAUUAAAACCGCAUGGUUUUACUAUUAAAGAAUUUCGGUUAUCGAUGGGGAUGCGUUCCAUUAGUUUGUUGGCGGGGUAACGGCCCACCAAGACUACGAUGGAUAGGGGUUCUGAGAGGAAGGUCCCCCACAUUGGAACUGAGACACGGUCCAAACUCCUACGGGAGGCAGCAGUGAGGAAUAUUGGUCAAUGGACGAGAGUCUGAACCAGCCAAGUAGCGUGAAGGAUGACUGCCCUAUGGGUUGUAAACUUCUUUUAUAUGGGAAUAAAGUAUUCCACGUGUGGGAUUUUGUAUGUACCAUAUGAAUAAGGAUCGGCUAACUCCGUGCCAGCAGCCGCGGUAAUACGGAGGAUCCGAGCGUUAUCCGGAUUUAUUGGGUUUAAAGGGAGCGUAGGUGGAUUGUUAAGUCAGUUGUGAAAGUUUGCGGCUCAACCGUAAAAUUGCAGUUGAAACUGGCAGUCUUGAGUACAGUAGAGGUGGGCGGAAUUCGUGGUGUAGCGGUGAAAUGCUUAGAUAUCACGAAGAACUCCGAUUGCGAAGGCAGCUCACUAGACUGCAACUGACACUGAUGCUCGAAAGUGUGGGUAUCAAACAGGAUUAGAUACCCUGGUAGUCCACACAGUAAACGAUGAAUACUCGCUGUUUGCGAUAUACAGUAAGCGGCCAAGCGAAAGCAUUAAGUAUUCCACCUGGGGAGUACGCCGGCAACGGUGAAACUCAAAGGAAUUGACGGGGGCCCGCACAAGCGGAGGAACAUGUGGUUUAAUUCGAUGAUACGCGAGGAACCUUACCCGGGCUUAAAUUGCAUUUGAAUAAUCUGGAAACAGGUUAGCCGCAAGGCAAAUGUGAAGGUGCUGCAUGGUUGUCGUCAGCUCGUGCCGUGAGGUGUCGGCUUAAGUGCCAUAACGAGCGCAACCCUUAUCUUUAGUUACUAACAGGUCAUGCUGAGGACUCUAGAGAGACUGCCGUCGUAAGAUGUGAGGAAGGUGGGGAUGACGUCAAAUCAGCACGGCCCUUACGUCCGGGGCUACACACGUGUUACAAUGGGGGGUACAGAAGGCAGCUACCUGGUGACAGGAUGCUAAUCCCAAAAACCUCUCUCAGUUCGGAUCGAAGUCUGCAACCCGACUUCGUGAAGCUGGAUUCGCUAGUAAUCGCGCAUCAGCCAUGGCGCGGUGAAUACGUUCCCGGGCCUUGUACACACCGCCCGUCAAGCCAUGAAAGCCGGGGGUACCUGAAGUACGUAACCGCAAGGAGCGUCCUAGGGUAAAACUGGUAAUUGGGGCUAAGUCGUAACAAGGUACCC
rnacentral:rRNA from 1 species